GUGAAACAAACAAUUUAUUUUUCUCAGAAUCAAAAACAAAUUAUUUUUUUCUCAAAAAAAUGGAAACAUACUUUUGUUUCCAUAAAAAAACAUAGCCCCCAGAAAAUCAAAUGGUUGCUGCCUAACCAUGCUAAUUGCUCACAUUUCAAAGAAGAGAGAAAUAAAUUUAUCAAUGACAAUCCUAAUUUUACUAGGCCAACCUUAUAAAUAUGUUUGUUUGCAGUUUUCCGACUGUACCUUCAGACUGAAGGGUCGGUAGGUAGGAAAAAUAUUUUAUUUUAUCAGCCAAAAUACAGUUUAAACAAGCAGUUACACUAAACCAAGUUUCUUGUGAAGAAAAAAAAACAUUUUAAAACAACAAACACUGGACAUGCUGAAAACCAACAUCAAAUGAACAGGCAUUUUCAGAUAAAAAAAACUUUUUAACCAAAACUGAAACUUUAACAUAGUGCCAUUAUCCAAUUUAUUACAUAAAAUAUGGUAUAAUUAUUAAAUACAUGUACUGGAACACUUAUAAACAAGGAAUGUCAUUAUGACUAAAACUGUUUUAAAGAAAUAUAUUCAGACAUGUAUGCUUCUUGACUAGAAUGUUUUCAUGAGUAGAGUAUUUUCAUCAGAAAGAUGUAUAUAUUAUAAAUGUAUAAGACAAUUAUUUAAGAGUGUAUUUUUAAUAAAAAAAAUAACCAUUGAAUCUUCCUAAAUUGAAAAAAAGGCAACUUGAAAAAAAAGUAUUAAGACAUCCGACUGUUUUCAUAUUUCUAACAAUAUUUAAUUAUAUGUGAUAAGGUUAUAUUUUUGCCAGGCUUUAAUGAAAACCAAAGAAAUCUAAAGUUUGGAGUGAAAUCCAUAGCACCUCAUUAAAAGUAAAUGGUCUGUACUGAAAUGUUUUUAAUGCAUAAAAAAAAUUGGCAGCAUAGCUCCUAAGGACAUGUUUAAAUUGAAUUCACACAGGCCACACAGUUUGGGUAUAUUUAAUAUUGUAAGAAAGAGAAUAAUUGCAAUGAGUGGGGCAGCCCCCCUUAUCCUAAAGGAGCAUACUCAAUGCAAUCGAAGAUGGAUUUAAUAUAGAGAGAGUAUAUUUAUUUUUCAAGCUAACCAUUCAUUUUAUCUACAUCUUUGUGUAGUUAGGGUUGCUUCUUAUUGAUUUGGUAUGAUCUAUAUCCAUUAACAUUUCAAAUGAGCCACAUUUGCUUAGUGCCUAAACGUCUAUUGGGUGCAUUAACGAAUUCUUCAACUCGUGGCUUAAAACUUUGUUCGUAAUAUUUCAGGAACUGAGGAUGAUUUGCACACAAGUCCUUGAGCUCCGAAUCUGCCCUUGCAAAUUGCAAUGUGUCGUCUGCGCUUGCAAUUCCUUGAUCUCCAAAAAUUGUGUUGAUGAUGGUUUUUCUUUCUUGGGUGCUAACACCAACACGAUCUUGAAGGUAAUGUUGUACAUUGUCCUUUAAAUGUUUUGUGCACAAUCUUCGUUUGGCAGUUGGAAAUGCAUUUUCUAUCGCCUUGGUCAUAGCUUUUUCGUCAUCACUGCCAAACUCUAUAUUUUCGUGGAGACGAAGUUCAACAUCAAUAUUUUCAAAAAGAUCCAUCAUUGUUGUUCACUUAAUUACCCUAAUUUCAUCCCCCAUCCAUUAAUAUUAAGUUCCAAAAGGUUUUGCCAAUUAGAAAACCAAUUCGAUGUCAAAAUUUAAAAUAUAAAAUUACCAAAUGUAAUUUUCAUAAACAUAUUUAAUUCCGUAACUUAAAUAAAAAGAAAAAUGAAUUAACAAAACUUGACACGCGUCGGACGUUGAUAAAUAUGUUAAAGGUGAUAAUCCAUGAUUAAUUGCAAAUAACAAUUAAUAAUGUGCUAUAUACAUUUUGAAUUAAUGAAGCCUAUCUCGGUGAUGAAUAGAAAACAAAUUCAAUAUCAAAAUUUAAAAUAUAAAAUUACCAAAUUGUAAACUUCAUGAACAUAUAAUAUAUAAAAUUACCAAAUUAUAAACUUCAUGAACAUAUAAUAUAUAAAGUUACCAAAUUAUAAACUUCAUUAACAUAUAAUAUGCCGUAACUUAAUAAGAAAGAUGAAUUAAUAAAACUUGACACGCGUCGUUAAUAAAUAUGUUAAAUGUGAUAAUCAAUCACUUAUCAAAAAUAAAGCCGUCCUCGGUAAGAAAUAGAAAACAAAUUCAAUGUCAAAUAUUUAAAAUAUAAAAUUAACAAAUUGUAAAUUUCAUAAACAUAUUAUAUUCCGUAACUUAAUAAGAAAGAUGAAUUAACAAAUUUGACACGCGUCGGUGAUAAAUAUGUUAAAUGUGAUAAUCAAUAACUUAAUUAUCAUAAAUCGCAAUUAACAAUUGUGCUAUAUACAUUUUGAAUUAACAAAUCCUGACACGCGUAAGUAAUAAAAAGAUUAUACCGAUUCAACAGAUUAAGAAAUUUAGCGUAUGAAACAAAAUUUACAAAAAUUGUGCAAAAUUGCAAUAUUUUUUUUAAUAUAAAAACAUAAAAUUACCAAAUUAAGACGAAGUAAGCCAGAUGAAUAAGAGUAGGUUGACCCUACUUCUUCUUUCAAACAGGUCAAACAACAGAACGUAGAACAGCUGGAUGUUACCAAGAAAUCGACGUCUUGUAAUGAUAACUGUUGACAGUCAUAGUGGUACCAUGAAUUGCAAGAGUCACACUGUACUGAGUUCUUGGAGCAGUUCUGUCUGCAGUCACCACAGGGCCAAAAAAUCGACCUUUUUAGGUACGAAACUUUGCGUUUUGGCAUUUUGACUUUACUGAUUAACUUUGAAACUUUAUAAUAGAUUUAGAAAGAUUUUUGAAUUUUUUUUCUUGUUCUAUCAAUAUAUUAUACCCUUUGGUCAAUAUCUUUAAAUUUUGGAGCCAAUCGUAAAUUUGACCAAUAAUAUUAACAGGAAAUAAAAUAUUGUCCACUUAUUUUCGUCGGAAGUAAAAGAUGAUCCAAUAACAUUUACAGGAAGAAAUUGUGAUUCCAGUACUUUAUGGUUUCACGUUUCCAUUGUCUAACACAAGAUUUGAGACGUCGCUAACAGAACAAAAAUGUGAAAUGACUUCUCUUGAGACAUCGUUAAAAAAACAAAAAGUUAUGUAGGACUUCUUUUAAAUUUCCAUUUCUUUUGACAGCGUGGUUGAAUUAUAGAAGCCAUCCGUUCUUUUUAAAUUUUGACAUAGACCUCAUUAUAAAGUUGGUUGUGUUUGUUUAAUUACUCUUAAUAAUGACCAUAACAUACUGGCUUCUGUUUUACAAGCAUUAUUAAAAAAAAAAGAUUUAUAAAAUUAUAUAAGUAUGUCAAAAGGAAACACAUUCAAAGAUAUUGCAUGAUAAUUGAUUAAAAUCGUGCUAAAGGAACUUUAUGCAUUUCAAAUAGAAUUUAAAUAUAUUCAUAAUAUUAAAGUAAUCAGUCAAAGUCCUCGAUCUCUUUCCGUCGGUUAGAUUUUGAUAUUUGUCUCUUGUCUUAUUUUUAGUAAAACUAUUUUAUAUAAGAAGAAGAAAGAAAUGAAUAAAAUAUAUAAUAUAUAUAUUUGGUGGUUUGCGGAGUUGUCAUGUUAUAGACUUUCCUUUCCUGUUUGGUGUGUUCAAUGUAGAUAUAUUUGAUAUUUAAACUUUAAUUCAAUAUGAUUUGUUGCAUUAAUAACUGACAUAAUAUAUUAAGGUCACAAUUAAUACAAUAAAACAAAAAACAAAAUUAAAAAAAAAUGCGCUGUUUAGCGAUAUGCGAUCGGUGAUGAAGUUUAGAUUUCCCGUCUAAUUAAUAUUAGUUCAUGGAUUUUUUAAGUUAUUUUAAUGGUAUGUUGCAUAUUUUAGUUGUUUUUUUGUUUGUUUUUAUGUUCUGUGGUAUAUUUUGAGUGUUCUGUGGUAUAUUAUAUGUGUUCUGUGGUAUAUUUUUAGUGUUCUGUGGUAUUCUGUGGUAUUCUGUGGUGUUCUGUGGUAAAAAGACGCUCCGCUUCCUCCGUACAGGCGUGUUGACAGAUAUCCAUGAAGAUUUAAGUCACGGAGCAGUGGUUUCAUCUUUGUCGUCUUCACAACGAUUUGUAGAAAAUAUGCCAUACUUAAAGCUGCUGUCGAAUUAUUUAACCACUGAAAUUGGUUCCAUAAAGUCAGGCUCCACAGAUUCUGAACCCGAUUUGUUUGAGACAGAAUGGUUAUCGUGUCAGUUAUGAAUAUCCGCUGCGUUAUCGUCAAUGAUUUCAUCACACAUCAUUACAUGUGCCUGAAUCUGUAAAAACAGUUUACUAAUAAACUUUUUUGUUUGUUAGUUGUCUUAAAAUUGACACGAGACGACAGCUUAAAGUACUCCUCCGUUACUUCAUGGAUACCUGUAAACAAUUUCCAUGUGCUUUAUCAUUAAAUGGUCACAUGAACGCUUGACGGGAGGCUAAGAAAAACCGAAAUUGAAACGCGUAAUUGACCCAGACUUUAAAUCAUUUCCGGAAAGGACCCAAAGUUCCGGAUCGUGUCAAAAGAGGUAUUAAAAAAAAUUUCUUCAAAUUUAAAGCAAUAAAAUUUUCACAGUCGGGAGGAUUUUCAAGGGUCGGUCGGUAAACUGCAAACAAACAAUAUUUUAAUUUAAGCCCUAGAAGUCUAAAUAUUAUACUAUUUACCAUGAUUACUGAAAUUAUGUCGUCUACAAAUAGGGCAAUUUUGAUUCAUCCAGUUAGCUAAAAUGGUAAUGACCCUUAAAAUCAUCCAAUGAUCUUUUGAGAUCACCAGCAGCCACAC
rnacentral:lncRNA from 1 species